rnacentral:rRNA from 1 species
AUUGAACGCUGGCAGCAGGCCUAACACAUGCAAGUCGAGCGGCAGCGGGAAAGUAGCUUGCUACUUUUGCCGGCGAGCGGCGGACGGGUGAGUAAUGCCUGGGAAAUUGCCCAGUCGAGGGGGAUAACAGUUGGAAACGACUGCUAAUACCGCAUACGCCCUACGGGGGAAAGCAGGGGACCUUCGGGCCUUGCGCGAUUGGAUAUGCCCAGGUGGGAUUAGCUAGUUGGUGAGGUAAUGGCUCACCAAGGCGACGAUCCCUAGCUGGUCUGGGAGGAUGAUCAGCCACACUGGAACUGAGACACGGUCCAGACUCCUACGGGAGGCAGCAGUGGGGAAUAUUGCACAAUGGGGGAAACCCUGAUGCAGCCAUGCCGCGUGUGUGAAGAAGGCCUUCGGGUUGUAAAGCACUUUCAGCGAGGAGGAAAGGUUGAUGCCUAAUACGUAUCAACUGUGACGUUACUCGCAGAAGAAGCACCGGCUAACUUCGUGCCAGCCGCCGCCGUAAGAC